UGCAGCGGAAGCAGGAAACGUGUGUGGCUCGAAUGAAACCGGAAGCGGGAAGCGAGCUCGAUCAUGGAGGGCUCACGUUGUGUUGUGCCGGCUCUGCCCAAGCAUUCGUACUGGUUUGACUUCUGGAUGUUUCUGCUGUUUGACGUCGUUCUUUUCCUCGUCAUUUACUUCGUCUUUCCCUGAGCGGACAGGUCAGCAGCGGCUGCUGGACUCGGAUCAGGACUGGCUCUAAACACCUGCUUCUCUACAAACAGUCAAAUAAAUGUCAUAACCUCAUAUCUACUGUCCCUUCAUGAUUCCACUGAGAGGAAAAAAUGACAAGAAGAUUGACGUUCAUCUGUAACAUAUGACUAAAUAUUAUCUGUUAAAGUGAGAGAUGAAUGCAUGAUGUAUGAAGAACUGAAUGAUUAAAUCUGUGUGACUUAAACGCUA